UUAUUUUUUAUUUUUUAAAAAUGAAAAGACUCGUUCAAGAUUUUUUUAAAAGCUAAGGUUGCAAGUCAUUUAUGCAUAAAUCAAAGACCAUAUAUUGUGGAACGCUCAAAUUUCAAACUUUCCGAGGUCUACGCCAGUCAAAUGGGAACUUAUAAAGAUCGCACCCCUUCCCCCAACUAGGCGCCUAUCCCUCGAAUCUGCGUCGGCUUCCCAUAUAUAUGUUGUCUCACCACUUGGAGAACCUAAAAUAUAUCCCUGCUUCUUAUUUUUCAACCUUGUUGUUACUUCCCCCCAACACCACCAUGGCACCAGUCGUCUCUCUCUAAAAACUCAAGACGCCUACACACAUAAUCGCACCUGGCCAAGUUUUGUUUUAAAACUCACGCAAAUUAGCAACAACCACCGGACCCUCAUCCCGGUGACACCCUUAAAUCCAUCCCCUUUUGCUCUCAAUCAGUCCCCUUUCUCUCAAUCAAUCCCCUAUAAACCCCCUUCUCUCGAUCCUUUUCAGAUACAUUUCCUGUUUUGAAGCCAUAAUUAUCUUCAUUGGUUUUGAAGGAUUAAAAUAGGAGAACGAGGGAAAUGGAACGAGGAAUGGGAGAUGAAGAAACACCGUAAUGAAGGUUUAAUGAAGGUUUCAAGAAAUACAAGUGUCAAUGGGUACUAGAUGCUUCUAAAUACAUGUAAAUUUUAUGCAUAUUGUGAAGUUCCACAAGCAUUAGGGUCACUUUCUCUUCACUAAUUGCAAGUAGUCAAGUUCUUACAAGCAAUGCUCAUAAACAAUGACCUCCACCUGUUGGAUGAAAUGUAUGGGAAAUCAGUUGAAGUCCAUACUUCAAACAAGGACCUCCACCUACAACUGGACUCCUACAGACUCCAGUUGAAUCUUUUGUCAAGAUAGGGACAUUAGCAAUUAUAAUUUUACAGAAUAUGUAUAUGUCAUCAUCUAAUUGAGUCAUUUUCUUGGUGAAAAUGUAGGCAUGGAAAAAGACAAUGGUAAGUAUAAGCAAUACCCUUUGUUCCUCUA